AUGCGCUUUAAAUCAGCAACCUCGCCCUUCGGCACAGCCAGUUUGCCACUCCAUUCAAUGGUCAUCUCCACCGCUUUGGCUCGACUUUGCUCCAUCUCCAACGGCAUCUCUCUCAACCAACACUGCAGGUUCUCGCAUUCCGCAACAACCCCCUUUCCGAUCUCAAGCUCAUCGUCCUUUAAGCAGAUUUGCUCUUCCAACUCGCUUUUGCU
rnacentral:lncRNA from 1 species